rnacentral:lncRNA from 1 species
CUCUCCAUUAAUUCCUCCCUGGCAUGUUCAGGAUCUUGGCCUCACUCCAGGCUCAGGCUUUUUCUCUGUCUUCAGCUUUCUUUUUGUUUUCAAAUUAUUUUUUAUCUAGAUCAAUUUUCCAUAAUGUUUUCAACUUAUCUAGCAUGAAUUGAAAUCUGGUCCCCAACUAUAAAUCUAUGUGAUGACAAUCUUCAAUAUAUGUCCAGACUCUAUGUGAAUAUGGAGGAUGAUAGAGAAAGGGAAGGCAGUACUGCUAGUCUAUAGGGCUAAAUGUAGAAUGGGCUGAGGAGGGGAGCUCAUGACAAUUUUCAUCUGCUGCUGCUUUUUUGGCCAUCUUAACUUCAUCGGUGAAGCUUAUUCCAGAUUCAAAGGUCAACUGCUUCCAACUAAACCUUUGAAUUCAUCAUUCUUCUCAUAGACAUUUUGCACUGUAUUAAAGAGAUCCUCAACAUUUUCCGCUUCCCAAGUCAGCAUCACUUUCAGAGUUUUGUCUCCAGUGUGAGAACAGACAAAUACACCAGUCCCUGGACUGAUACCUGAAAAAAGAGGAGAUAAGCAAGAAGGCUCACCAGAUUCUCGUACUUUGGUAUUAAACUAGGCGUCCAGGAUAUUAAGAAUUCAAGGAGAUUGGAACCACCUGGACCAUCUGGAUAUCCCACAGAAGACCACACUGACCCAUUAUUACACUGAUGAUAUCAUGCUGAUUGGGCAAGAGAAGCAAGAGGAAGGAAGGCCCACAGAAGUUGCUGUGUGAACAUGUGUGGAGAUGUGAAUCCAUAUAGCUCAAAGGGUGGACUGUGACACCUAUGAGAGCUACAAAUGAAGACUUAGGAGUGUUCAUCAAAUAAGGAGUUGCAAGAAGAACACAGAAACCAGAUUUAUUGUAUACAUGAAAAAAUAAAAAGUACUACUCAAGGAGGAUGGCGCUCUGAAGGAAGACUGACAUGUUCCUGGAAGGAAAGGCUGAAAACUGGGGUCCAUAUGUGAUAUUUUCUCAUGUCAAUUCCUCUACAUUAACUCAGUUUCCUAAGUUGCCCUGAUUCCAGUCUAGUAUUUUCUUAUAUUUUAAGUAAAUUUUUAUACUGAAGUAUAAUAUUGACACAGAAAUGUACAUAAAUCAUUAAGCAUACAGCUCAAUUAAUUUGUAAAAAGUGAGCACACCCAUAUAAUCACUGCCCACGCCUGGAAAUAGAACUCUAGCAACACCGGAAAGCCUCCUUCAUGCUUUUAUCCAGUCAUUAUUCCAUCCCCAAAUGCAAACGCCAAUUGUAUUAUUAUUGCUAUAGAUUAGCUUUGCAUAUUUUUAACUUUAUAUGUAAGGUUUUAAAACAUGUACUCUUUUGUGCCUGGUUUCUUUUGCUCAGUUUUAUGUUUGUGGCAUUCAUCUAUCUUGUUUGUAGUAGUAGUUAAUUCAUAUCAUAAUUUGCUCAUUUUACUCUUGAUAGACAUUUGAGUUGUAUCCA